rnacentral:rRNA from 1 species
UACAGAGGGUGCGAGCGUUAAUCGGAAUUACUGGGCGUAAAGGGCGCGUAGGUGGUUUAGUAAGUUAGAUGUGAAAUCCCUGGGCUUAACCUAGGAACUGCAUCUAAUACUGUUAGACUAGAGUACUGUAGAGGGUAGUGGAAUUUCCGGUGUAGCGGUGAAAUGCGUAGAGAUCGGAAGGAACACCAGUGGCGAAGGCGGCUACCUGGACAGAUACUGACACUGAGGCGCGAAAGCGUGGGGAGCAAACAGG